UCAGUUGGUCCCACCAGCUAGACUCACUGGGCACAUGGCUUGACCGGAGUCUGUUAAACUACCGCAAUGAAAGCCCAGAUAUUGUGAUCCUCAUCCUCGCAUGGAUGGUGGUUCUACUGCAGAGGGUUUGGUGUUUCUAAGCCGAAUACCUGGAUUCAGCCCUCACUGAGCUGCACUAGCCGCUUGACUGCACGACAUCUUCAGCCUCUCUGGGACCAAGUUUACUGAUACGUGAAACGGGGAUCAUAACAGCACCUCUCAUAGUGCCGCUGUGAGGAGUUUCUAUCUCAUCAGGUGCAUCAAGUGUGGCAAGCAGUAAGCACGACACACGCGUCAGCCUGUCCUCUGGGCAAGCGCGGUAGGGGCAGCCACCAGGAAGGAAGAAGUGCCUGCCUUCCCCACAGACGGUCCACACCUGCCCGCCCUGGCUCCACACCUCUUUUACCCCCAGCAGGUGCAGCUCUGGUUUUGAAAAGGUCUUUCCUCUGCAAUUUUCAUUUCUCAACGCUCACAAAAUAAUGGCACGUGCCGAGAAGAGCCACCAGAGGGCGCCAGAUCACUGACAGAGUCCACCUGGCUGCUGCUUGGCAAAAUCACCAACAUUUACGUCAGGAAUAUUGGAUCUAAGUCUAGGCUUGAGAAAAGUGAAAUCCAGUGUACAUCAGUUAUGAUGUUGGGCCAACAUUUAAGUAAAUGAGGUUCUUUGUUCUCCUUGGCUAUUACCUUAGUCAUGCUAUUUUUUUGGUUUGUAUGUUUAUGUGCUUUUAUUUAUCUCUUGUAAAUCAGUGGGGAUUGUUCAGAUUAGAAUUAAACUUGAAACUUUGGUCUGCUUUGAAAGCUGCCAGAGGCA